UCUUCAGUGAUGAUUAACAAACUUUCGUUCUUCUGAGUUUACUGAAGCCAAUAUUUCUGUCCUGAGAAGA
rnacentral:snoRNA from 11 species